CGCUGGCGGCAGGCUUAACACAUGCAAGUCGAGCGGAAACGAUGAUAGCUUGCUAUCAGGCGUCGAGCGGCGGACGGGUGAGUAAUACUUAGGAAUCUACCUAGUAGUGGGGGAUAGCUCGGGGAAACUCGAAUUAAUACCGCAUACGACCUACGGGAGAAAGGGGGCAACUUGUUGCUCUCGCUAUUAGAUGAGCCUAAGUCGGAUUAGCUAGAUGGUGGGGUAAAGGCCUACCAUGGCGACGAUCUGUAGCUGGUCUGAGAGGAUGAUCAGCCACACCGGGACUGAGACACGGCCCGGACUCCUACGGGAGGCAGCAGUGGGGAAUAUUGGACAAUGGGGGCAACCCUGAUCCAGCCAUGCCGCGUGUGUGAAGAAGGCCUUUUGGUUGUAAAGCACUUUAAGCAGUGAAGAAGACUCCAUGGUUAAUACCCAUGGACGAUGACAUUAGCUGCAGAAUAAGCACCGGCUAACUCUGUGCCAGCAGCCGCGGUAAUACAGAGGGUGCAAGCGUUAAUCGGAAUUACUGGGCGUAAAGCGAGCGUAGGUGGCUUGAUAAGUCAGAUGUGAAAUCCCCGGGCUUAACCUGGGAACUGCAUCUGAUACUGUUAGGCUAGAAUAGGUGAGAGGAAGGUAGAAUUCCAGGUGUAGCGGUGAAAUGCGUAGAGAUCUGGAGGAAUACCGAUGGCGAAGGCAGCCUUCUGGCAUCAUAUUGACACUGAGGUUCGAAAGCGUGGGUAGCAAACAGGAUUAGAUACCCUGGUAGUCCACGCCGUAAACGAUGUCUACUAGUCGUUGGGUCCCUUGAGGACUUAGUGACGCAGCUAACGCAAUAAGUAGACCGC
rnacentral:rRNA from 1 species